UAGCCAUGAUGUAGGCAAGCAUUUAGAAGAUCAUUGAAUCUUUCCCUGCAUUGAAAGAAGGUUUCUUCCUCUUUUUGUGAAAAAAUCAUGAUCGCCCUCCUUAAGGUA